UGACUUAGCAACGAAAUCACCACCACACUAAAAUUGAUACAGAAAAGAUGAGCAUGGCCCCUGCACAAGGAUGAUACGCAGGCUCCUGAGUCAGUCCAUAUCCUU
ensembl:snRNA U6 U6 spliceosomal RNA